rnacentral:lncRNA from 1 species
CUCCUAAUAGAAAUGGUUAACCAAUAUAUAUAUUUUUUUAAAUGGCUAAGUGGUGUGCUUCUUCAACAACCAUACUGUUAGAAUCUGAAACAUUCCAGCAUGCAAGUGGCUCCUGCUUUUGCUGGAUUCUAUAGGGAAAACCAUGAGGAAAUGAGAAGUUUUUCAUCUUUUCAAGUGAAUGCCAUGGCCAUUAAGUCUCAUAUUCUUUUGCAAACCAACA